rnacentral:rRNA from 1 species
GAUGAACGCUAGCGGCAGGCCUAACACAUGCAAGUCGAGGGGCAUCGCGGUGCAGCAAUGCACUGGCGGCGACCGGCGUACGGGUGCGUAACGCGUAUGCAACCUGCCCCGCACCGGGGGAUAGCCCGCCGAAAGGCGGAUUAAUACCCCAUGGUCCCGGGGGCCCGCAUGGGCAUCCGGGUAAAGCCUUGGCGGUGCGGGAUGGGCAUGCGUGCCAUUAGCUGGCUGGUGGGGUAACGGCCCACCAGGGCAACGAUGGCUAGGGGGUCUGAGAGGAUGGUCCCCCACACUGGUACUGAGACACGGACCAGACUCCUACGGGAGGCAGCAGUGAGGAAUAUUGGUCAAUGGGCGGAAGCCUGAACCAGCCAUGCCGCGUGCGGGAUGAAGGCCCUACGGGUUGUAAACCGCUUUUCCCCGGGAAGAAUAACCCCGAUGAGUCGGGGAUGCCGGUACCGGGGGAAUAAGGAUCGGCUAACUCCGUGCCAGCCGCCGCGGUAAACCAGACAGCGUA